rnacentral:rRNA from 1 species
GACGAACGCUGGCGGCGUGCUUAACACAUGCAAGUCGAACGGAAAGGCCCCUUUGGGGGUACUCGAGUGGCGAACGGGUGAGUAACACGUGAGUAACCUGCCCUUGACUUCGGGAUAACUUCAGGAAACUGGGGCUAAUACCGGAUAGGAAUCCUUGCUGCAUGGUGGGGGUUGGAAAGCUUCGGCGGUUUUGGAUGGACUCGCGGCUUAUCAGCUUGUUGGUGGGGUAGUGGCUUACCAAGGCUUUGACGGGUAGCCGGCCUGAGAGGGCGACCGGCCACAUUGGGACUGAGAUACGGCCCAGACUCCUACGGGAGGCAGCAGUGGGGAAGAUUGCACAAUGGGCGGAAGCCUGAUGCAGCAACGCCGCGUGCGGGAUGACGGCCUUCGGGUUGGAAACCGCGUUCAGCAGGGGCGAAGCUUGUGGUGACGGUACCUGCAGAAGAAGCACCGGCUAACUACGUG